GCCUUCGUGGUGUAGUGGUCAGCACUCUCGGCACGUAUUCCAGGGAGCCGUGGUUCGAAUCCCGGCGAAGGCA
rfam:Stegodyphus mimosarum contig31190, whole genome shotgun sequence.